rnacentral:rRNA from 1 species
GAGUUUGAUCGUGGCUCAGAUUGAACGCUGGCGGCAUGCCUUACACAUGCAAGUCUAACGGCAGCAUGAUCUAGCUUGCUAGAUUGAUGGCGAGUGGCGAACGGGUGAGUAAUACAUCGGAACGUGCCCUGUAGUGGGGGAUAACUAGUCGAAAGAUUAGCUAAUACCGCAUACGACCUGAGGGUGAAAGUGGGGGACCGCAAGGCCUCAUGCUAUAGGAGCGGCCGAUGUCUGAUUAGCUAGUUGGUGGGGUAAAGGCCCACCAAGGCGACGAUCAGUAGCUGGUCUGAGAGGACGAUCAGCCACACUGGGACUGAGACACGGCCCAGACUCCUACGGGAGGCAGCAGUGGGGAAUUUUGGACAAUGGGCGAAAGCCUGAUCCAGCGAUGCCGCGUGUGUGAAGAAGGCCUGG